GAUCAGGAACUGCGCGGCAGAGACCUGCAAACCCCGCCAGGACCGGAAGGUAGCAGCGGUAGCGGGAUCCUCUGGGCGCCGCAACCCUCCUGAUCGGA
rnacentral:SRP_RNA from 1 species